UGAAGAAAUAAAACAUCCAAAUUGGAAGACAAAAGGUAAAUGUGUUACUAUAUGUGGAUGAUAUGAUCAGAAUGGCCAUAAUUAAUAAGUCUACAAAUAACAAAUGCUAGAGAGGGUGUUGAGAAAGGGAAUUGUUUUUCACUGUUGGUGGGAACAUAAAUUGGUACAACUACUAUGGAGAACAGUAUGGAGGUUCCUCAGAAAACUAAAUAUAGGAUUACCAUAUGAUCUACCAAUCCCACUUCCAGGCAAAUAUCCAGACAAUAUUUGUACUGUAUGUUCAUAAGAGGACUAUCCACAAUAGCCAAGACAUGGAAACAACCUAAAUGUCCAUUGACAGAUGAAUGGAUUAAAAUGUGGUGUGUAUACACCCCUCCCCCAACACACACACUAGAAUACUACUCAGCCAUAAAAAGAAUGAAAUAAUACCAUCUGCAGCAACAUAGAUGCAACUAGAGAGUCUCAUUCUUAGCGAAGUAAGUCAGAAAGACAAAUACCAUCUGAUAUCACUUAUAUGUGGAAUCUAAAAUAUGGCACAAAUGAACCUACGUACAAAACUGAAACAGACUCGCAGACAGAGAAUCCACCUGUCAUUUUUGCCAAGAGGGCGAGGGGAAGUGGGAUGGACUGGGAGUUUAGUGUUAGUAAAUGUAAACUAUUAUAUUUAGAAUAGAUAAGCAAUGAGGCCCUAUUGUAUAGCAUGGGGAACUAUACCCAGUCUCUUGGGAUAUAACAUGUUGGAAGAUAAUAGAAGGAAGGGAGUGUGUGUGUGUGUGUAUCUGAGUCACAUUGCUGUACAGCAGAAAUUGGAACAACACUGUAAAGCAACUAGUAAAACAGGUAUGAACACACACAAAAAAAGCAAUCCAAACACAAUACUAAAGAUAGACAUUAAAUUACGAGGGAAGAGAACAAAAGAGGAAAGGAGGAACAAAGACCUAGAAAAAACAAAAACAGUUAACAAAAUGGCACUAAGAGCAUACAUAUCCAUAAUUACCUUAAAUGUAAAUGGAGUAAAUAUUCCAACCAAAAGACCUAGAAUGGGAACAAAAACAAAGUCAUAUAUGUGCUGUCUACAAGAGACCCACUUCAGAUCUACGGACAUAUAUAGACUGAAAAUGAGGGGAUGGGAAAUUUAUUCUAUAGAAAUGGAAAUCAAAAGAAAUAUGAAGUAGUAAUACUCAUAUCAGACAAAAUAGAGUUUAAAAUAAAGACUGUCACAAUAGACAAAGAAAGACACUACAUGAUAUUCAAGGAAUCAAUCCAAGAAGAUAAAACAAUUGCCAAUGUAUAUGCACCCAACAUAGGAGCACCUCAGUAACAACUGCUAACAGUCAUAAAAGAAGAAAACAACAACAUAAUAAUAUUGGUGGAUUUUAACACCUGACUUAAAGCAAUGGACAGAUCAUCCAGACAGAAAUCAGCAGGUAAGCAACAGUCUUAAAUAAUGCUUUAGAUCAGAUGGACUUAACUGAUAUUUACAGAACAUUCCAUCUAAAACCAGCAGGAUACACAUUCUUCAGAAGUGCACAUGGAGCAUUCUACAGGAUAGAUCACAUGCUAGGCUCUGAAGCAAGCCUUCAUAAAUUUAGGAAAAUUGAAAUCAUAUAAGCAUCUUUUUCAACCACAACACUAUGAGAUUAGAAAUCAAUUACACUCCCAAACUCAUUCUAUAGGGCCACUGUCACUCUGAUACCAAAACCAGGCAAAGAUAUAACAACAACAAAAAAAGAAAAUAUAGGGCAGUAUUACUGAUAAACAUAGAUGCAAAAAUCCUCAUCAAAACAUUAGCAAAAUGAAUUCAGCAAAACCUGAAAAGGAUCAUACCCCAUGAUCAAGUGGAAUUUAUCCCAGUGAUGCAAAUAUUUUUCAGUAUCCAUCAGUGUGAUAUACCACAUUAACAAAUUGAAGACCAAAUCCAUAUGAACAAAUCAAUAGAUGCACAAAAUAUUUUUGAUAAAAUUCAACAUCCAUUUAUGCUUUUAAAAAAAUUGUUCAGAAAGUAUGCAUAGAGAGAACCUACCUCAACAUAAUAAUGGCCAUAUAUGACAAGCCCACAACAAACAUCAUACUCAGUGGUGAAAAGCUGAAAACAUUUCCUAGAAGAUCAUGAACAAGAGAAGGAUGCCCACUCUCACCACUUUCGUUCAACAUAGUUUUGAAAGUCCUAGCCAUGGCAUUCAGAGAAAAAGAAAAAAAAAUCCAAAAUGGAAAAGAGGAAGUAAAACUGUCAGCUUGCAGUCAUGAUACUACACAUAGAAAAUCCUAAAGACACUAUCAGUAAACUACAAGAGCUCAUCAAUGAAUUUGGUAAAGUUGCAGGAUACCACAUUAAUACACAGAAAUAUGUUGCACUUCUAUACAUGAAAAAUGAAAGAUGAAUGAAGAGAAAGAGAAAUUCUGGAAACAAUACCAUUUGCCAUCAUGUCAAAAAGAAUAAAGUACCUAGGAAUAAACCUACCUAAAAAGACAAAAGAUCUGCAGCAUAGGUCAAAGAUGCAGCUCUGAUCUAGUGUUCCUGUGGCUAUGGUGUAGCCUGCAGCUGCAGUUCCUAUUUUACCCCUAGCCUAGUAAAUUCCAUACGCUCCAAGUGUGGCCAUAAAAAGAAAAAUACAAACAAAAAAACCCAAAAUGGAUUAAAGUCCUAAAUUUAAGACUGGAUAGUAUAAAACUCUUAGAGGAAAACAUAGGCAGAACACUCUUUGACAUAUCUGCCCCAAUAUCUUUUCAGAUACACCUCUCAGUAAUGAAAAUAAAAAGAAAUACACAAAUGGGACCUAAUCAAACUUAAAAAUUUUUGUACAGCAAAGAAAAUCAUAAACAAAAUGAAAAGACAACCCACAAAAUGGUAGAAAAUAUUUGUAAACCAGGUGACCAACAAAGGAUUAAUCUCCAAACUAUUAAAACAGCUUAUGCAGGUUGAUAUACAAAAAAAAAACAAAAAACAAAAAA
ensembl:lncRNA